rnacentral:rRNA from 1 species
AGAGUUUGAUCCUGGCUCAGAACGAACGCUGGCGGCGUGGAUAAGACAUGCAAGUCGAACGAGAGAAUUGCUAGCUUGCUAAUAAUUCUCUAGUGGCGCACGGGUGAGUAACACGUGAGUAACCUGCCCCCGAGAGCGGGAUAGCCCUGGGAAACUGGGAUUAAUACCGCAUAGUAUCGAAAGAUUAAAGCAGCAAUGCGCUUGGGGAUGGGCUCGCGGCCUAUUAGUUAGUUGGUGAGGUAACGGCUCACCAAGGCGAUGACGGGUAGCCGGUCUGAGAGGAUGUCCGGCCACACUGGAACUGAGACACGGUCCAGACACCUACGGGUGGCAGCAGUCGAGAAUCAUUCACAAUGGGGGAAACCCUGAUGGUGCGACGCCGCGUGGGGGAAUGAAGGUCUUCGGAUUGUAAACCCCUGUCAUGUGGGAGCAAAUUAAAAAGAUAGUACCACAAGAGGAAGAGACGGCUAACUCUGUGCCAGCAGCCGCGGUAAUACAGAGGUCUCAAGCGUUGUUCGGAAUCACUGGGCGUAAAGCGUGCGUAGGCUGUUUCGUAAGUCGUGUGUGAAAGGCGCGGGCUCAACCCGCGGACGGCACAUGAUACUGCGAGACUAGAGUAAUGGAGGGGGAACCGGAAUUCUCGGUGUAGCAGUGAAAUGCGUAGAUAUCGAGAGGAACACUCGUGGCGAAGGCGGGUUCCUGGACAUUAACUGACGCUGAGGCACGAAGGCCAGGGGAGCGAAAGGGAUUAGAUACCCCUGUAGUCCUGGCAGUAAACGGUGCACGCUUGGUGUGCGGGGAAUCGACCCCCUGCGUGCCGGAGCUAACGCGUUAAGCGUGCCGCCUGGGGAGUACGGUCGCAAGAUUAAAACUCAAAGAAAUUGACGGGGACCCGCACAAGCGGUGGAGUAUGUGGCUUAAUUCGAUGCAACGCGAAGAACCUUACCUGGGCUUGACAUGUAAUGAACAACAUGUGAAAGCAUGCGACUCUUCGGAGGCGUUACACAGGUGCUGCAUGGCCGUCGUCAGCUCGUGUCGUGAGAUGUUUGGUUAAGUCCAGCAACGAGCGCAACCCCUGUUGCCAGUUACCAGCACGUGAAGGUGGGGACUCUGGCGAGACUGCCCAGAUCAACUGGGAGGAAGGUGGGGACGACGUCAGGUCAGUAUGGCCCUUAUGCCCAGGGCUGCACACGUACUACAAUGCCCAGUACAGAGGGGGCCGAAGCCGCGAGGCGGAGGAAAUCCUAAAAACCGGGCCCAGUUCGGACUGUAGGCUGCAACCCGCCUACACGAAGCCGGAAUCGCUAGUAAUGGCGCAUCAGCUACGGCGCCGUGAAUACGUUCCCGGGUCUUGCACUCACCGCCCGUCA